rnacentral:misc_RNA from 1 species
GAAAUGCGAUAAGUAAUGUGAAUUGCAGAAUUCAGUGAAUCAUCGAAUCUUUGAACGCACAUUGCGCCCGCCAGUAUUCUGGCGGGCAUGCCUGUUCGAGCGUCAUUACAACCCUCAGGCCCCCGGGCCUGGCGUUGGGGAUCGGCGGAAGCCCCCUGCGGGCACAACGCCGUCCCCCAAAUACAGUGGCGGUCCCGCCGCAGCUUCCAUCGCGUAGUAGCUAACACCUCGCAACUGGAGAGCGGCGCGGCCACGCCGUAAAACACCCAACUUCUGAAUGUUGACCUCGAAUCAGGUAGGAAUACCCGCUGAACUUAAGC